GAUGAAGAACGUAGCGAAAUGCGAUAAGUAAUGUGAAUUGCAGAAUUCAGUGAAUCAUCGAAUCUUUGAACGCACAUUGCGCCCGCCAGUAUUCUGGCGGGCAUGCCUGUUCGAGCGUCAUUUCAACCAUCAAGCCCCCGGGCCUGUGUUGGGGACCUGCGGCUGCCGCAGGCCCCGAAAACCAGUGGCGGGCUCGCUGUCACCCCGAGCGUAGUAGUUUACACCUCGCCCAGGGCGCGACGCGGGUUUCCCGGCCGUUAAACACCCCACAUCUAAAGGUUGACCUCGGAUCAGGUAGGAAGACCCGCUGAACUUAAGCAUAUCAAUAAGCGGAGGA
rnacentral:misc_RNA from 1 species